rnacentral:rRNA from 1 species
UGAGGAAUAUUGGUCAAUGGGUGCAAGCCUGAACCAGCCAUCCCGCGUGAAGGACGACUGCCCUAUGGGUUGUAAACUUCUUUUGUAUAGGGAUAAACCUACCCUCGUGAGGGUAGCUGAAGGUACUAUACGAAUAAGCACCGGCUAACUCCGUGCCAGCAGCCGCGGUAAUCCGGAGGGUGCAAGCGUUAUCCGGAUUUAUUGGGUUUAAAGGGUCCGUAGGCGGACUUAUAAGUCAGUGGUGAAAGCCUGUCGCUUAACGAUAGAACUGCCAUUGAUACUGUAAGUCUUGAGUAUAUUUGAGGUAGCUGGAAUAAGUAGUGUAGCGGUGAAAUGCAUAGAUAUUACUUAGAACACCAAUUGCGAAGGCAGGUUACCAAGAUAUAACUGACGCUGAGGGACGAAAGCGUGGGGAGCGAACA